rnacentral:lncRNA from 1 species
CUCCCUCCCCGCAACCCUAGGUCACCGUUUUCCCCCUCCUCUCCUCUGUGGAGCCGUCGGGGGCAUUCCCGAGCAGAGCCACCGCCAUAGCAGGCUCCUAGUGAGCUCGUCGCCGGCAGAUCAGCACCCUGUCUUCUUCCCCGACUGGAUCAGGAGCACGCGGUGGACCAGGGGGUUCCAUUCCCGGCAAGAUCGGGCGACGGGAGCGGCUACAUCGGCGACCUCGACUUCUUCCUCUUCUUCCACUACGCCAGCCCCUUCUGCAGCGCAUCAUCAUUGGCAGCUCUUCCUCCUCGGCGAGAUCCUCUCCUCUCAACCCUAGGUGAGCGAGGCCCAUGCUCUCCUCCUCUUCCCUCUCGUUUGAUGCGUCUGAGCCCUCUGCUCGAGGCCUGCCGGAGUUGCACCGGCAGGUUGAGUUGUUGCUUGCGCUGUUGCUUGCUGUCGCUUGCUAUUUCUUGUUGCUUGGGAGUAGAUCCUCUGGUCAUGGCCGAUGCGUCCCUCUCGUAGGUGUAGAGCAGCCGCAGGAGUCCCCGUGGAUGUGUUUGUGCGUGUGUAGGACGGCCGCUCCGUUGAGCUCGUCGUCGGCACCUCUCUGCAAAAGCAGAGCAAGGCCGCCCCUUUUCCUAGCUCACCUGAUUAGAUCUCCCCCUCUCGGACAGUAGCACGCGCCAGCUCGACUGGUCUGUUCCCUGCGCGCAGUUCGGCGCGACAUGGGUUCGAAUCCCCGCCGGGCCCUUUUAUUUUGCUAUUUUGAUGGUAGUGGUACUCGGCAAAGCUAGUUCACUUGGGAUCCUUCCCCUUAUAUGCCGAGAACAGUGCGCUAGUGAAGUGGUGUAUGCAUGUGUGUUGCACCAGAGGCUCCUGGGUUCGAGUCCAGGGGCUCCCCUUUUAUUUUUUGCUGCCUUGUAUUUUAUAUUCACUAUUCCAUUCUUGGGCAACAAGACAGCCUUGUUUCCUUUAUCAAUCUAGUGGAAUGCAUCUCUUUUAAUGCCUAGGUUUACAUGUGAGUGUGUGUGUGUGUGCAAGUAUAUGUGUGUGCAUGUAGUGGGUGUGUGCAAGUGCUUGUGUGUGUGUAUUAGAUGAUGUUUGCACUAGUGUGUGUAGAGGUUGUGUGCACUAGUUUGUGGGUGUGUGUACACACAUGUGAGUGUGUGUGUGUGUGCAUGUGGUUGCACAUGCACAUGUGCAAGAGGGAAGCUCCUCUAGAUGCACCUCUUGUAGUGUGUGUGUGUAAGCACAUAUAAUUGUGUGUAUGUGUUCAUGCAUGUGUGUGUGGGGGCAUGAGUGCACAUAUGCAUUUGUGCAUGAGGGCUAACCCCUCAUGCUUGCCACUAUGGUGUGAUGUGGUGGUGUGUGGGCUUGUGUGUGUGCAUGUGUAGGUGUAGGUGUUGCUACAUAUGCCUUAUUCACAUGUGAUAAUGUCUUAUAUGAUCAUAUAUGAUUCUAUGUUGUUUUUCGAGCUAGUUUUGUGCCUACAUGUUACAUGCAAGUACCCAUGUAUUAUAUAUGUUUUUGGGGUAAUCAGAUUUCACUUUAGAACAACUUCAUAAACUGUCAUUUUUCUAUCAUGAUGCCAUGUUUAGAGCUUUGUAUUAUGUGGUGUGUUGGCCCUAUGACGAUGAAUUCUUGAUGUGGCAGUAGUGGGUGAACCCCUCUACAACAUGGGGUCUUUGUUUUAUUCAUAGGAAUUUGUAUGCACCUUUUGUGCCUUGUCAAAGUUGACACUUGGCUGAAACUGACAGCUUUGUGAAAAUCUGUGAUUUUCACUAAGUCUGAGAAUCUGCUGUUAUUUUCUUCCCUUGUUGUUUUGGUUGCAAAAGCUCAUGUGUUGGGAAUCAGCCCAUGCAACAAACUAAAGUUUGUGAGCUUUUGUGUUUGUCUAGCUCAGUGUUAAAUUUUAUGCUUAUUCACUUCCUGUAGAUAUCAUUUUGGAGGCUGCCAAAAUGCUUCAGAGCAUAAGCAGCUGGUGAAAGUCUGAGAUUUUCACUAAGUCCCAGAAUCUGUAAUGUUUUAUCCAUUUUGGUGCAUGUAGAUCUGCUCAUGUGUGACUCCUAUGUAUAAACUUCUUGCACAGGCUUGUAUAGCUUUUGAAUGGAUUUUGCCUAAUAUCUUGUUUGGCUCAUUUCGGUGGUUGUAGGUAUUUUAAAUGUUGUGGACAAACUGCUAUGAUGCUGUUAAAAACAGAUUGCAUGUUUUACUUGUUUUGAAGCUUGCGUGGGCAUUGUUGAUGGUGUGGUGUGUUUCCAUGCACCAACCCACUUGCAUUUGAUUGGUUUGAUCAUGAGGCAACCUGGUAACACCACAGGAGUGCCAUUGGAGUGUGCUUGUGGUUGAUUUGAACCGUAGGACUCCACAUCUUGUUUUGUAGUUUCCGGUUGAUCCGUAGCUCUGUUCUCUACGUUCUUUAUAUGUUUUUUCUUCGUUUUCUCGUGUUGCACAUGUUCAUGCCAUCAUCAUGCAUGUCAAGAUAACUUAAUAUGAAGUUCUGUCCAGAAUUCUAUUAACUCAACUAAUGCAUAUGAAAGUGACUAGAAUAGUGAUGCAUGCUUCCUUCUUCACUCAUGCAUCAUAUUGUUUGUUGCAUCAUGAGUGUUGGUGUUCAUUGGCUGUUAUUUUUUCUUGGGUAGCGUCGGGGUCGGAGAGCGAGUACAUGGAUUCUGGAGAGUACGUGCAGGAAGAUCAAGAGUUGUUCCAAGCUGAAGACAUCACAGGCAAGAUGACCGUGACCUUGAUACCGUAUCUAGCUUUGUUAUGCUUAGAAUCUCGUUUCCUUCGAUAUGUGAUCGCUGCGUACCACUUGAUAUAAAUGCCUCCUGGCAUUGCCAUGAAACCCAAACACCUUCCUCUCCUAGCAAAAGUUGUUUGGCUAAGUAGGCCUGCUCAGCUUCUAAUGGAUAGCUUUGCUAGUUGCAGGUGCCAGCUGUCUCAUGUGAUAACAUGAGUAUUUUGAUAUCAUUAUGUUUAAACUGCUAUUUAGAUUAAUGCACCUAUAUACUUGGUAAAUGACGGAAGGCCUAGCCUUUUGCCGGGUGAUUUGUUCCAUUAUUGCCACCUUAGUUUCGGUUACCGGUGUUUGAUUCCAUAAUUGAUCGCUCCUAACACGUUCGGGGUUGUUAUGGGGACCCCCUUGAUAAAUCGUGUAGUGUUAAGGCUUGUCUGGCAGGACCCAACAUUGGUUUUAAUUUGCUAAUCACCUAAUAAUAAUUUUCAUAGGGAAUACCUACCCCGAGGAUUUAAACAACAACCCGGGCCAGUGCUCCUCAUGAGUGUUGGUCCAAACUAGAGUCGUGUGCGGGGCCAACCCGGGGCAACUCGGGAGAUUUCUAUCAGGCCACUAUACGCUGCGCUCAUCCGACCGUGUCGUGAGAACGAGAUACGCGGCUCCUAUCGGGUUCGUCGACACGUCGGGAGGUCUUGCCAGAUUUGUCUUACCUUAGCGAUAUAUCUUGCGUACAGAAAUCCCGGUGAAACUUUGGGUCUCCUCAAAGUUGAGGUUUUCCUCUAAGGAAUCCGACGAGAUUACGAGAUUCGUGAUAGAGGAUUACUUUGCGGCCCGUGGCAGUUUGUGAUGGACUAGUUGGAGCACCCCUGCAAGGUUUAAUCUUUCGGAAAGUCGUGCCCGCGGUUAUGUGGCAAACUUGGAUAAUUUGUUAACAUCCGGUUCUAGACAACUUAAAGUAACUCUAAUAAAACUGCCAACUAUGUGUGUAUCCGUGAUUGUCUCCUUCGAAGACCUCUCUUCGAUCAGCAACACGGUGGGGUUAUGUUUGACGUAAGUAGGUGUUCAGGAUCACUUAGUGAUCAUCUAGUCUUCGAUCUCUCGUGUAGACCACCAUAUAAAUCACUGUGUUCAUCAUAAGUUAGCCAGCAUACAUGCUUAGGUUGCUGAAAACCCAUACACCAAACCUUCCUCACCUAAUAACUUGACUAGAUUCGAUACCAAGGUCAUCCGAUUACUAAGUCCCCGUGGCUCACAGUUUACUACAACACCCCAACAGGUACAGGUACGCCCGAGGCAGGAGAUCCUGAUGGCACCCAGCUGACGUGGCAGUACGAUGAGGAGUCUAACCGACUGUACGUGAAUUAUCCGGAGGACUGAGGCCAUGGUCGUGAUCGUGGGCCAGCAGGCGGGAUGUCAUAGCUCUUUUACUUGGUUCAUGUUGUCCGUAGUGGUACUAAACUUUGCUCUGAAUAAUUGUGUGGCUGUAAACCUUAUGUUAUACUAUGUCAGAUGGCAAGUGUAUGCCCUACAUGUCAUUCUUCAAUUAUGUAAUGUCAUGAUUAUCUCGCUUGCGAAACGUUUAGAUGCGCCUCUUUCCCUUUUGGGGCAUCUCCCCCAAAAUAGGAAAUGACGCAUCUUAGUCGUUACACAUGUGCCUCCCGAAUGUGUUGGCCGAAGCAUUAGAGGCCAGAUACCCCCUGACCAGCUCGUGACCGGCCAACCAUGUUUUGCGUGAUUAUAGACCUUGCGUUGAACUAAAGGACAUGAUAUCCGUCAUCCCCAUUACCCUAAUGCCGGUUGGGGCUUGGCCUGCGGUCAUGAGGUC